ACUGUCUCAACAACAGACUCGGUGAAAUUGUAAUUCCGGUGAAGAUGCCGGAUACCUGCGACAGGACGGAAAGACCCCAUGGAGCUUUACUGUAGCUUGACAUUGGGUCUUGGUACUACAUGUACAGGAUAGGUGGGAGGCUUUGAAACCAGGACGCCAGUUUUGGCGGAGCCAUCCUUGGGAUACCACCCUUGUAGUACUGGGACUCUAACCAUAGGCCAUGAAUCUGGUCUUGGGACACUGUCAGGUGGGCAGUUUGACUGGGGCGGUCGCCUCCCAAAAGGUAACGGAGGCGCUCAAAGGUUCUCUCAGUACGGUCGGAAAUCGUACGUAGAGUGUAAAGGCAAAAGAGAGCUUGAUUGCAAGACAUACAGGUCGAGCAAGGAUGAAAAUCGGACUUAGUGAUCCGGUGGUUCUGCGUGGAAGGGCCAUCGCUCAACGGAUAAAAGCUACCCUGGGGAUAACAGGCUUAUCUCCCCCAAGAGUCCACAUCGACGGGGAGGUUUGGCACCUCGAUGUCGGCUCAUCACAUCCUGGGGCUGUAGUAGGUCCCAAGGGUUGGGCUGUUCGCCCAUUAAAGUGGUACGCGAGCUGGGUUCAGAACGUCGUGAGACAGUUCGGUCCCUAUCCGUCGCAGGCGUAGGAAAUUUGAGAAGACCUGUCCUUAGUACGAGAGGACCGGGAUGGACGUACCUCUGGUGUACCAGUUGU
rnacentral:rRNA from 1 species